CAGAUUCAUAUAAUUCCUUCCUGAAUCUCACCUGCUCAGCACCAUCAUCAGCACCACCAUCAGAUCUUAUCAUCAGAGCGGUCGUCCUGCCGCUGACGCUGCUGUUGGUGAACGUUGCCCUUUACUUCUACUGUAAGGCCAGCAGGGGGCAGAAGCCGGGCAGACGGGAGAACAUGGA